rnacentral:lncRNA from 1 species
CAAUACCUAGGCAUGCCAUGGCCCAGAACAUCAUUAGACUCCUGUGCUUUGUAUGUAAACAGCUUUCUUCCUCAAGCUGUGCUUUAGGAAACCAGUCUUCCUUUACCAAUGAAUAUGUGAACACUUGAAGUGAGAGCACUUCACUGAGUCUUUGAUUUCUCUGGCUCCAGGAAAAGAGAUAAACGUAUAUAGACUGAGAUGCUCCAGUGUCAGAUUAUAAGAAUCUGAAUCUCUUACUGUGACCCAGACCUUUGAUUGUCUGUUGUUUGCCCCAUCCAUAGAAUGAUGGCAACAUCGAAAGUUCCUGAAAAAGAGUUACGUAUUAUAAACUUAGAACAGGGUGUGACUAGUACCAGUGAUCCAAAGGCAGUGGCUAUAAUCAUUAUGGCUAUUUCUUAUUUGUGAAAAUUAAGUGAAAUAUCUGACUUGAAGUGCUUGGGAGGGCUCGCAUUUCUCUUUAUAUAUAAGAAAUCCACUCCUCCUUUAAAAUCAAAGUUAAGGGCUUCAGUAUUAAGUUCUUCAUUCAUUAAAUGCCUUCAGAACUGAUUUCUUUUUUCACUGGAUGAGUUUUCAUCACUAGUUUUUUUCACAAAAAGCAUCUUGACCAUUUGGAAAUUGAACAUAUCCCCUUGUGUCAUUGAUACCAACAUUGAGAGCAUACAUAAAUUUAAUUUAAAAGUUUAUCUCAGUCUUGAUUCUCCCUUGAAAUUUUCCUAUAGGAUGAUACAUAGAUGGCUUCCUGUACUUACUGUAGUCAUUUGGAGUAGAUUCAGACCCAGGUUAAUGUGGUCUUUGGUAAACAUCAAGAAGAUGAUUUUUUUUCAUUGAUUUUAUCAUAUAGAUCUACCAUGGUAUAAGAGUCUUCUCUUUCUGCUAAAUCUAGACACUACCUGUGACAAAAUCUCUUAAAGCCAUAUCCUUCCACUUUAUGGGCAACAGAGGUCUUACCCUCCCAAGAGAGUAGGAAACCUGUGUUAGCAAUUGCCAGUGAGAAUGAAAAUCUCUCCCUACAAGUUUAUCUCAUAUGAGCAUUAAUAUUCUCCAUAUGACUAUCUUUUAUAGUAUUUCAUUUUCCAAAUAUAUUUUCAAAACACAAGUUAUAUUAUUGUCCAUUACCAACCACUAAUGGAGAAUUUUAUGACUAACUUUCAAACCAGGAAUGAUUAUUUUUUAUGGGAAGAUACAUUUGCAAACCUAGAUAUGGUAGCAUUUAAAUGGCCACUUAUUUCUGGUAGAAAACUAGCCUGAUAAUAGCCUAAAACUCAGAUUUCCAUUCCAUGGUAACAUUAUCUUCAGGCCCAGAUGGAUGUCCUUUGCACUUAAAGAGCAUAAGCAAAACCAAUUUGAUGGAAAUAGGUUCUUUCUUAUCAUUAGGAAAUUUAGAAAUGGACAAAUACUGACUUGCAUAUUAAAUCUAUGAUCCAAGGCUAGGUCCAUUCCCCCAGUAGUCUGUUUGUUUUGUCUUUUCAAGAAGUCUGAAAAAAACACACAUCUCUACUAGAUGUUCCUUUGCUCAGGAAUGGUGGGCCCAGGGUGCUGUAGGUGCAACUGAGCAAUAAGAGCUCUUGUCUGUGCAUGACGAACACUGGGGGAUUCUGCCUUCACUCGCCUUUUCUCUUCUGCCCAUGAGCCUUUCAUGUUAUGCAUAUUUUCAGUCUAAAUUUCUAAAAAACAAAGACAACAAAACAAAACAAAACAAAAACCAAUAGAACUCUUAAAAUAAGACCAUUGUUGUUGUUUCUUAGUUUUAUGCACUACAUGAGCUGGGGGAAUCUAUUAAACAGUUUUCAAUCCUUUCUUUCUUUAUUAAUGUUUCUACGGUCUGUUUCCAACAUUGCUGAGGAGAGCUGUAAUAUAAACAAUGAUUCAGUGACAGAAUUUACAUAGUACUUACAGUGUAAAUAUUGCCGGAGAAUUUAUAUAGUACUUAUAGUGUAAAUACUGCUGGAGAGAGAUUUCUUAGUCUAAAAUACGUAUCCUAAAACCAAGGUGAUAGGUUGUGAAGAGGUUUUUUGGGGGUUUUUGUUGUUGGUUUUUGUUUUUGUUUUUGUUUUUACUUCUAAGAUGUACUUAUACUGACUUAUGUAAGUCAAAAUAAGUCAAGGACCCUCAAGUGUUUAUUUUAUAGCUAAUCUCCACUGCAUGAUUCUCCAAAAUCCAUAUCCAUUUGUUUGAAGUACAAAGGAUAGGAUGAAGAAAGAAAGCAAUUAUUAAAUAAAAUAGAGGUUAAAUGAUCUGCCCGAAACCCAGAACUGGCUGCUGACUACACCAAGAACCAGGAGAAUCAAACCACACUGGAUUCACCGUUCCUAAAGAGCUCAGGACUUCAACAUGACGUUUUGCAGAGCAUGGCCCAAUAUCUAUAUUAAUCAAUGUAAAAUAACUUUUACAUUAUUCAGGAAUUUAACUCAUAUAGGUCUAUAAAUGCUCAUAUGCCAUGGAAUGGGUGGUGACAAACCACCAGUAAUAUAACAUGACAAAUAUUUAUUUAAUUGCUAAUUCAUUACAAAUAAUCGUGGGUAGAAUUUUCAGUUUUGUUUUGUUUUGUUUUACUUUAAGGAAGUCACACAGUUCCAAUAAUUUGUGGUAAAUGAAACCACAACCUGGUCAAGUACUUUCAGAUUUUAAAAUUAAGAUUUAGUAAUAUGAAUACUCCUGAGAGUCAGUUUUUCCUUGUCAAAAGCAUAUGAAUGACAAACAUGAUUAGUGAAUGUAGAUGAAUUUCGCAAACAUAGAGGCAAAUAAAAGACUUCCUAAAUGAAAGAGAACCAGUUGAGUGCAAUCACUUUUCUAUGUUUAUGGCUACAGAUUACAAGAUCUUCCUGAAUGAUCCUUGGAAGUCUUUUAAGGCAGGAAAACUUUAAAAGACCCCUCACACAUGUUGCACCAUGCCUUGUGUAAAGGCUUCCCUUCCUGCUCCAUUCUUGAAACACUUAUCUGACUCACAUCAAAAGUCUCCGAUAUGCUUGACCCAGUAUGGUGUGUACACAUGGAUGUCUACCCAACCAUCUUUUCUACUAGACUCUUGACUUGGAGAGAGUAGAAGAAGUAGGUGUCCAGAUAUCUGGGGUGUUUUACACUAAGAAAUCAAGUCCCGCUGCAUAAAGAUAUUGGAAUGUCAAUGAAAUUCAAAGAAAUUCUUUAUGACUUAUACACACCAGAUCUCAUGCAUGGCUUUUUACGACUUUUUCUUUCACUCAAGUGACAAAUACAAGCAGAAACUCCAGCAGACUUAACAGUAUGAAUGGCAGACAGAGGACAUGAAACCCAUCCAUCCCUCCACUUGCUCUUUCAUUCAACAGAUUUAUCGUGAGAGAAUCUUCAUGUGUCAGACAUUCUGUCAGACCUGAGGAUCUAAAGAUGAAUAUGAUAGAUCCCCUGAAGCUCUGCCUCGUCAGAGAUAGACUAUAAACAGUAAUUAUAACACAAUGUGAUAAGGGCUUUGACAGAACAAUGCACCCUCUGCUGUGCGAUUUCUAAAGCAGGAAUAAAUGACUCUGCACACCAAAUUACUCCGUUUAAUUUUAAUACACCUUUAAUAUUCUUUCUUAUCUGAUUGUUUAGUAUGUAACUACCUUAAUUCAGAACAAAAAAGUAGGAAAGGGCCUAUGCAAAGUAAUGGGAGUUUAAAUAUUACAGUUCUAUUUCUAAACUAAUUAGUGUUCAUCAUUGUUCAUGUUAUACAUAGUUUGAAUCUCAAACAGAAAUCUAUAUAAAGUCUAAGCCAGAAAAGCUUUGCAUGACUUGCCUAGCAAACUCAUUAAUGGUGUCAUUUAUUUAGCUUUGAAAUUCAAAGAGAAUUCUUAAAAGAGAAUUACUCUAGUAGGCACCUUACAAGAAGAGGCAUGUGAGGGUAGGGGCAUAUUAUGUCAUGAAAACCGUUCAGAGUAAGUUAGAGACACAAAGACUGCUCUAGAAUGAAGGUGGGUGCCUGAGCUUGGAGCAGAAGUUCAUCUCCUGCUUUGUUGUUGUUUAUUAAUUAUUAUUACUAAAUAUUUUAUUAAAAAACUGACUGGAUGAGUAUAUUUAUUUUAUUUGUUAUAGGUUAUCAAUAUUUUUAAAGAAAUAACUAUGGAAAAUUAUGGCAUUUAAUAGUGGCAAUUAAAGUAUUUUUCUGAAUAAAUGAAAAAUAAACCUAAAAAUCAGAUCUCUUGCUGUUUUUUAAAUAAUCAUCAAGCUAUUGUUGAGAGUAAUGAAAAGUAAUAAAAGAACAAGACAUGAACAUAAUAGGAAUAAAAACAUUUAAAGAAAUUGGCAAUAUCAUAUGGUAUAGUUUUCCAGUUGUUUCUUUCUUUUUAAAAAAUAAAUAGAACAUUAUUUAAAAUUCUAUUAUUUUAGUACUUUCAAGGUUAUUUUUAUAGAGACAUCAAAUUUUUGUUUACUAAUGGGUUACAAUGUGUGAUUUUCAAGUAAGAGUAACUAGCAUACAUAUAGCUUUAAAGUAUUAACAUUUGCAUGAAGUAUACUCAAAGCCACAUAUAGUUUUAUUUUUAAUUACUUCCAUCCUGAAAUACUAGAACAUAGUCUAACAAACUUUAGCACUGCAUCAGAAGUCAGAGGUCUCCCAAUAGUCCCCAUACUUCCUCGGUUCCAAGCCUCUAGAACAGACCGACUCUCUCGGGUUCCUCAUGAGUGAGAUCAUGCAGUUUGUAUUUCUCUGUCUGACAAAUGAAAAGAAAAAUAUAUUAAACAAAAUGGAUCUGAAAAGGUCUAAAGCAAAGUUGAACAGAAUGGUGUUCUGUUUGAAAGCUUAAUUUGAAAAUCUCAGAGUGACCAGCACCCAGUGGUUAAACAUCUAAGAACCAACAGAAUGUCUAAGAGUAAAGAGAAACCAUGUUUAGGGGGCAGUGAAUGGGAUGUAAAGUGAAUAAGUACGAAAAAAUAAUUAAUUAAAUUUUAUAAAUUAAAUUAAAUUAAUUUUUAAAAAAGUGUGAGGAGAAAGCAAACCAAAGUAAACUGGACAGAGGCCAACAAGGGGCCAAUCACGCCUUCCAAGCAUCUGAAGAAUACACAUUCUACACAUUCCAGGCUCACCUCCUCCGCAGGCUCUGGGGUUGUUCUGCCCAGUGUCUAUCUAUCCACCUUAGGCCACAUUGUAAGAAAGCAAAAAUUAGCAGAAGAAACAGAUGUGCUUGUGUGUUUGUGAUGGAACUCUACAGUAAUAACCCCUUUUCUCUCUCUCUCUCUUUCUUUCUCUCUCUCUCUUUCUUUCUCUCUCUCUCUCUCUCUCUCUCUCUCUCUCUCUCUCUCUCUCUCUCUCUCUCUCAAUUAGAAGAAAGUCACAGUCCAUUGGUUAUAUACCUAAAAGUUUCUGACUCAGGCAGAAAAGGCAGUGAAGAUGGUCAUAGAGGCUUAAAUUUGCUAUCUGAGCUCCUCUUCCUGCUAAUCGUUCUUUAAUUCUUUGUUCUCCUUCCCUCAUAUCAUUCCAAUUAAAUUCUUGUGUCUCAUCAAUGCAAGAAUGCUGUGGGAGUGUUGUGUGUUGGUGGAUGCUACACCUGACUUAAAUAAAUCAGUCAGUUCUGUGUGGAUAGAUGUGGUAGCUAAGAGCCUUCUUCUCAGUGUUUACAAACCAUCGAUUUACUCAUAUUUCUUCCAAAUAUCUGACUUUCUUCCAAAUGUCUGAAUUACCACUACUGGGGAGAAAGGUUUUCAUUGUUGGUGUUGUUGUUUUCCUUUUUUCUUUUUUUCUUCCUGAUGUGUUUAAUUUGUAGGAAGUAGUUGAGUUGAUAGAUUAUACCAUUGCUUCCGUCAGAUCUUGGCUAUGAAUUUGCCAAGAGAACUGGGUCUUCAGAGAGUGAGAUAGCCUUUCUAGCUUUGUGAUGAACUUCACUCAGUGAGCUAUGCCACUGGAAGGUCAGCAGCCACUAAAGUUACCCAAGCUAAUGGAAUAAUAAAAGGAGGACAUGAAAUAACAGAUCUAUUAAAGCUAAGUAAGAAAACUUCAAAGGGUGGGAAAGGCUUCAUGGAAGGCAUAUCUCUAUAUUGCCCUUCCCAGUCUUCUUUUAUGGAACUUACAGCAAGAAUUAGAUGGAGCCUGAAAUAAUCUUUACUAGAUUGGUCAUUUUCUGUGCAUCAGAGUGGGCCAGCGAAGAGAGCCAAGCACACCCCUCCUUCGUCUCAAUCAGAGAUACUCAUCCAUUCCUGGGAAAAGUGAGUGAGUGCUUCAGGGAUAGCUCCCUACAGAUGAGCCCUGUCUUACUGCAUGAGAGAACUAUCUGCAGUCUCCCAAGGAGCCUAGAGUCCCAUCUCUUUCUGACAAGACAUAGCUUUAAUUGCCUUUACUUCCUAUUGAUAUGUCUUAGCAAUAUUUUAGGCUUGGAGAGGAAAAAGGAUACACUUCAUCCUGAGUCUAGAUAAAUUUUCUGGCCAAUGGAUAACUAAGAAUUGUUAUGAAAUAUAAGUGGGGAGAGGCACCUGGCCAGCACAUGCCAAGGUGUCCCCUUGAGAAAUUGUACCAUACAAGGUAGGGUUUAUUUGGGAGAAAGGAGGGGGAUGAAGAAGGGAUAGAUGAGAAGGAAUAGAGGCAGAGAAGUGGACAUGUAGACAGGGAGACAGAUAGGAGCAGAGGUGUGAAGACAGAGAGGGGCACAGAGAAGGACAGAAAGGCAGAGAGAGCCUGGCAGGAACACAUAGGAAAAAGAGACAGAGGCAGAGACUGGGGAGGGGGAGAGGAAGAGAGGUGGCAGGGUAGUCCUUUUAUAUGCAACCCACACCUGAAACAUCUGGGGGCAGGUGAUGACAUAAACUAUGUAUGUCACUGGGAAGAGCCUACUGGAACUGCCUGUAAUCUAACAAGAAUCCCAAUUACCAUUGACAGUAAAUGCAUAAGGCCAUUCUUCUUUCCAGCUGCGAUUCUACACAUCUCACCAGAAAGUUGAUUUGCAGGAAAAGAAAAAAGUUCUUUUCCUCCCCCAAAUUCACUGGCUCCUGCUACUGCAUUAUUCAAUUAUAAUCUCAUCCAAGACAUUUCUGAAGGAACCCUGUAAUUUCAUUUAUCAAAAAGGAGAGACUAGAAGGGCAAUGUUUCUCUGUAGUUGUUUGAGGUAUAACUGGAGAGCCAGCAUAUAAGUAGAUUGAAUAAGAUUUCUAAUGCUAAGAUACUUGUGAGAUCAUGUAGCCCAUAACCACACGAGGUGUGCCAUUCUUUCCUGGAUGACCACUCUCUUAACCCUUAUGUUUAAAAGCUACCUUAAAGGUGUCACGAUAAACAGGGCUCUUUUCUGAGAUGCCCCACAUGCGUGAUAUCUAGUGCACUUUAACCUUUCUCUAAACAUGUUUCCUUCCAUUCUAGAAAUAUCAACUCUCCUUUAUAGUAGGUAAUCUUUAAAUUAUAUAUAUAUGUUUUUCUUGUUUUUUGUUUUUUUGGUUUUUUUUGUUUUGUUUUUUGUUUUUUGGUUUUUUUUGUUUGUUUUUGUUUUUUUGUUUUUUUGUUUUUUUUUUUUUUGAGACAGGGUUUCUCUAUAUGACCCUGGCUGUCCUGGAACACACUCUGUAGACCAGGCUGGCAUCUGACUCAGAAAUCUGCCUGCCUCUGCCUCCCAAGUGCUGGGAUUAAAGGCAUGUGCCACCACUGCCCAGCUAGUUUAAUAUCUUAAAUAAUGUAUUGGCUUGUAAAUCCUUCAUCUAUCACAGUACACAAUUAAUACACAACUGAGAUGAUACAUUGUAUAUUGUUCUGUGUGGAAGCCCAUUACCUGAUUUUAUCUGAGUCAGAGGCUCGAUAACAUUCAUGGAACAUCUCAGACUGCUGCGGGCCAUAGAGUAGACCAGUACCUCCUCCAUUUUGCCACUGAAGCUUUUCUAUAUAAAAUAUAUAUUGUUUACAAUUUCAGCAGAUUGUAAAUUGAAAUGAGACUCAUGUAUCUGUAAGCAAGCAUAGUCAUGCUGAAAUCUACUAUCAGGAUAUUUUUUCAUUAACUUACUAUAUACACCAUAUUUGAAACCUCAUCAUUACAUAUUAAAACUUCAUUUAAAAUGUUCUUAUUCCAACUUGGGAUCAUUCUAGGGAGAAUCUAGUUUAACAUUGAGUUGUCAUUAUGAUUAAUGUAAGAACCUUCAACAUCUUGCUUUUUAAUAAUUGUUUGUUUUAAAUAUCAAUUAUGAAGAAGGUAUUGCAGUUACCUAAGGUUACAAAACAAUCCCCAGAAAUAUUUUAGCCUCAUAUUGAAACUACUCUUCAUGAAUAUGUAAUACAAAAUAGCAUAAAAACAAAAACAAACAAACAAGCAAACAACAACAACAACAACAAAAAACAGGCAUUCUCAACAUUUGUUGUCAUUGUAUUUUCAGGUGAAUUCUUUGUUACUUCCAGUUUAGUAUACUCAAUCAAAAGCUAGAAACCAUAUUUCUAAAAUGGUUAUGUUUCUUCAAGGCAUUUUGCCCUGUAUUGUGCCUCUGGUGUUAUCUGGCUGAUAUAUAUGUAUAUUCUGGGUUCCUUUGGUUGUUGUUUAUAUAUAUUCCAGACUUGCCAUUUGUGAAUUUUUGAAUAAAUGAGGUAAAUUGACUUAACUCAUCUGGUCACUUACAAAUGAUAUAAUUAAUUUCACUACAAGACUGCCAGUGAGAAUUUGCACAUUUCUGUUGGUCAGUGGAGAAGCACAGGUAUCAGGAAUAUAUAUCUACUAAAAUAUAGGUAAUAUUUUAGUCCCGAGACCAAUGGCUUGUGAUAUAAGUAAGUCUCAUAUAUUUUGCUUCCCAUGCUUAUAGUCUUCUACUUGGUAUUAUGAUCCUCAGGCAGUGGGAGGAACAGGCUUUAUGAAAGAUAACAUAGAUGGAAAUGAUGAAGUACGAAAUAGGUAGAAUGACAAAUAUAUUUCAGUCAUUCUAAAUGUUAUAAUUAAAAAGAACCACUCUAAGAAUGCAUAGUUGAAUAUUGAAGCCUCGGUCUAACCCUAAAACUGGACCUCUGGUAAGUGUACAAGCAGCGGGGAUAGUGCUGGAUUUCGUCAGACCAUAAUGACUGUGACCCGACAUUUUACAGCCUAAACUCAUAAAGCCAAUGAGUCCAAAAGCCUCAUGAGUAUAGUAUUAGGUUCCUAUCAAUGAACACUUUUAUUUUGAAAUUUUUCCAGGGAGUAUCGAGGAACAAAGGUAUAGGGUGAGUUUUUCCAUUUUAGAGUCUAAGGUCUUAUGCCAUGUAACAAUUAGAUUUUAACGUCACAGGAUUCUUUUAUCAGUUGCCAAAAAAAGCAGGUUGACUAUUUUGUUUUCCCAGGAUACGCUUUUGGAACGAGUCCAGAUCAUUUAAAUUUGAUGUAACCUCCUCAGUUCCUUCACUUACUGGCUGACUGGCUCUGGAAAAGCUACGUUAACAUUUAAGAUGUUAUUAUAAAAGGCAUUUUAAAACACUCCACUCAAAGUUCCCAAACCUAGUAUAUUUCACUCUUUCUGCCCUAAAGCCAGUUCAUUUCUACUUGAUUUGUUCUAAUUAAUUGAAUGCACGCAUAUAUUUCAGGAACUCUUCGUGGCCUAGAGACUUUAGACAGUCUCUCUCAUGGUCUCACUGAUGGCCAUCAUUGCGACCAGCCAUCACCAUCCGGGGCAUCUCCUGAAAACGCGUCAUAUCUUCAACAAAACAAAACUAAAAACCUUAUAUAUUUACAUGUGUCUCUUAUCUUCAUGCUCAAUUUAGGUUAAAUUUUCUUCUUUUUAAAAUAUAAAUAAAAUGAAUAUAAGAAGUACUUUAGCCCGGGCGUGGUGGCUCACGCCUUUAAUCCCAGCACUUGGGAGGCAGAGGUAGGUGGAUUUCUGAGUUCGAGGCCAGCCUGGUCUACAAAGUGAGUUUCAGGACAGCCAGGGCUAUACAGAGAAACCCUGUCUCGAAAACCAAAAAAAACAAAACAAAACAAAACAAAAACAAAAACAAAAACAAAACAAACAAACAAAAAAAAAGAAGUACUUUAGACUCUUUACCAUAUACAACAAAAUUAAAUAAUUUCCCAUUGUAUGCGUGGUAAUCUUUGAAGUCAAGCCAGUACACACAUGCACACAUGCUAUUCAUUUUCAGGUAUCUACAAUGUUGACUGUAUUGGGCAAUGUGUUGCCAGGUCCAAACUUCUAAUACAUAAAUCACACUAAGUACAUGGAUCUAAUAUUACAUUUGAAUAAAAGUAAUUACAAGUGUUUAGAAAUGGUUUUGAAGAAUAUGUUGGUAGUAUUAGAGAAAUUCCUCAGUGGUUAGGCACACAGAUUGCUCUUAGGUAAGACCAAUAUUUUAAACCCAGCACCAACCUGGCAGCCAACAACCAUUUGUAACCUGGUUCUGGGAGAUUUGAUACCCUCAUCUGAACUUUCUGGUCACCAGACAAGUAUGUAGCGAGCAGACAUAAAUUCAGAAAGAAAAUGCAAAACAAACAAAUAAACAAAAAACCCUGAAACAUAAAAAUUAAAAAUUAAUAAUUUUUUUGGAAAAAUGCAUUGGCAACAAGGUAGAGUAACAUUAUAAGCAUAACAUAACCAUUUUAUGGAAGGUACCGAAGGGCAUGACUUAUGCCAAGUCCAGCUCCUUCAGUUCGUGUUUUUAGUGAUUCUGUGUUUACUCACCUAAAGGCUGCUCCUUCUUAAAAACAAUUGCCUGGAUGUAUUCUACUUGUGUUGAAUGUGAUUUCAGGUGCAUUUCCACCAUUAAAUCUGUCUAACAUGCUUACCUAAGUGUAGAUGAAUAUCAAAUGAAGAGAAAAUCAAGAAAUCCCUUUGAUGAAACAACAUGUGCUUAUGUAAAUGUAAGGGGGAGUAAGUAUGAUAUGCUAUUAGCAUAAAAUCUCUGUAUGUGAACUUAUACUCCUUGCUUUUGCUUAUUAUCAUAGCCAUGUUUGAAUUAUUUCCUUUUCAAUGUCUUUUGAAUCAUGAAUAUUGGAAUUUUUUUUAGUUAUUCUGAAAUUUUGAAUAGGCAUUUUGACACUCAUUAUCUAUUUGCGUAUAAAUGAUAGGUUUUCCAAAUAAAAUUAUCUAUGUUAUCUGAUCUAUUCCUUUUUCUGGUAAAUGAUGGAUUAUUUUUAUUGAAUUAUUUGUCUGGAAAAUUUUUACAUUUCUUUGAGAUAACAUGCAUUACCUUUAAUUAGGCCUACUUAUUCAAAUAAGUAUAGCCUUUAUACAGUGAAUAGCUAUAAAUUAUCAUGUUCCAUCCCAUCAUUGGAAUAUAACUACCCAAAAAUACUAAUAUACAAAUAAUAAUAAUAACAACCCCAUUAUUUAUAUUGUAUAUGUUUAUACAGAUGCAAUGAAAAUUGAAGUAUUUAUCUUUGAUGUGGCAUCAAAUCCCUGCUUUUUCACUGGAAUAUUUCAUAUUUUUUACAGCAGCAAAAUUCACAUCACAGUUUCACAGACCCAAAAUACCAGGAUAUUAAACUUUUGUUGGUGGAUAGAGUGAGAGGUCAUACUUUAUAUAUGAAGUGAAUUCAUAUAGUAUUCAGGACUUGGUCUUUCCUUUUCUUGUUCAUGUGAAAUAUGGUUGGCUAUAUCUACUUAGAGCAUGGAUGAAAUAAUUUUUGCAAUAUUACAUUUUAUACUGUGUUCAAUUCAUAUACUAUAUACUGCAAUUAUUAGUCUUCCCUCUUUUAGGUACUCAUUAGCUGAAAACAGUCCAUCUGAUGGCUGGUUGUAUCUGUAUAUUUCCUGGUCAGGAAAGUAGAUGUGUGAAUUGACAUUAGGUGGUGUUUCUUACAGCUGUGCUAUGCACAGGUGGUACCAACACAACUUGUGUUGCUCUUUGUCCAUUUAGCUAGCCACUCUUCCCAUUGAAGCCUAUUCUAUUUAUUUUCGUAAUAGCCAAAAUGUUCUUUCCUAUUUACUGUUUUCUGUGGAAAGAAUGGAGCCUUAGAUUAGUAACCUCCUCGUGCUUUCAUUUCAGAGACUAAAAUAUAAAAAUAUUUAAUUAGAUCCGUUCUUCUAUAAAACUUUUAUAAAAUAAUCUUAUCUUAAUACUUUGUUUUAAAAGUUACUAUUGAUUUCAAUUAAGUCUGAUAGUCAAUACUCUUCUUCUUUAUACUUUUAUUCUAGAGCCAACCAAGCCAUGUUUUCUGAGCACAACCUCAGAUAAAAUUAACUCUGUCCCAAUCAGAAUAAAGAUUAUAAUGACUGGAAGCUCCAGUUUGCCCCUAUAUUAAAAUACUCAAUUACCUUGCUACAGUUCCCUGUUUCAAGUCCUACUUUCUUUUUUUUCAAACUCUAUAUAUUUGAAUACACACAUGCACAGAUCCAGAUAUGCACAUGAAUCGUAAUAAGUUCAGCAUGUCAAUGCUUUCCUUGAUAACUGAGGAUACUUACAUAGUAUUAAUAAGGGCAUCUUGAGUCCAGAUUUCUCCUACAGGUGUUUUGUUUUGUUUCUUUGUUUUGAUGCUGAUUGUAUUUUUUUCUCUGUGUAUUUUGUCAUCAUCUCCCACCCCACCCCCCUUUUUAAGGUUGUUUUGUGGCAGUUGUUUUUUGUUUAUUGUGGUUUUUUGAAUUGAAUAUUUUCUUUAUAUUUCAAAUGUUAUCCCCUCUCCUGGUGUCUCCUCUGGAAACCCUGUAUCCCAUCUCCCAUCCCUCUGCCUCUAUGAGGAUGCUUCCCUACCCACCCAUCCACUCCCACCUUCCAGCCCUGGCAUUCCCCUACAUGGGGGGCAUCAAACAUCCUCAGGCCCAAGGGCCGCUCCUCCCACUGAUGUCCAACAAGCUCCACUUUCUUAGUAUUUUCUUUUUGUUUGCCUUGGGGAGUACUUUCUCUUUCACUAGAACAUGUAUAGUAAAGUAUUCCAUCAUACAAAGUAAAAAUAAAUCACUUUAUUAUGUGAAAACAAACUGUAAAAUAUUGACAACAGGACAAAUAAUAUCACAUGGUAACAAAUCCAUGCAAAUGGCUACAUCUAAAUUUUAACUGAAGAUAAUCAAGUGAAAUUAAAAGAUAUUUUUCUGAAGUAUCAAAGGAAAAAGAGGUUGUAAAGAUUUACCUUUUGUAAUUAUAGUUACAGUAUUUCUCCCCUUCCUGUUUUUUCCUCUAACUCUCCCCAUGUAUGCCUUGCUCACUCUCAAAUUCAUGACCUCUUUCUCUUUAAUUUUCGUAUCCAUAUGAAUGUUACCUGUACAUGUAUGAAUUCAAGGCUAUUGGAACUCACUCGCUAUUGAAUAACCAAUUAUGUGUUCUUCCCAGAAGAUCAUUAUUUAUUCCUUAUCUAGAGCUCAAUCUUUGUGAUAGAUGGGACCAUCACAGAAAACCACAGUCAAUUAAAAUGCAGGAAAAAAAUUCUAUAACAUAAUUCCUAUACCUAAAACUCAGGGACUACUGAAGAAGAGGAAGCAGAAAGAUUGCAAGAGGCAGAAGAACAGGAAUUUUGCUGUGAGAUUGUCUCCAAGAAACGCCACAGAGAUUGCAGCCAUGAGAUAAAACUUUUAAUAACAGCCAAUAAUAGAUAUAAUAGAUGUAAUAGGCAGGUCCUAUUACAUGGAAGUCUAAGGCAGAAUGACUGAGAGUUUGAGUUCAGCCUGAACUAAGUAGAGAGACAUUGUCAAAGACAAACCAAACAUCACAACAAAAGCGCAUUAACACAGAGAGAAGUCAAAAGGAGUGCGUGAAUCACAGUUAAAUACACCCUGAAUGCAGUCAGAGAAAAGCAUAGUCAUGUCUGAUGACGUGACACAUAGCUUACGUGUCAUUUUCUCAAUGCACUGGUUCCAUGGACAAAUGAUAGUGAAAUUGGCCAGUGAAUUCCAAACAGAGGGGACUAUAUUCUGGUGAGACAAGAGAAUGGGUAUUCUCACAGGGCAUCAGAGCUCCCCAUGCCCGUAGGAAUGUCAUUUGUGUUAUGAUAAUAGUCAUUGCCAGUUCUCAAAACCGUACUGUACUGUGACUUUCUUCUCCUUUGUGCAUUUAACACACAGUCAGUUUGUACUAACUCUCUUUAGAUGGUUUGCAGGAUUAUUUUUUUAGGUUCUUAACUUCAGGGUUUGUUAAGGUAGAUCGUUAUGAAUAAAGGCACACAAAAUCACCAACAUAUUUGAAGUUUAUUCUAAAAGAAAUAUCCAAAAUCAAAAUAUCUGGCUUGGAAAGGACUGUUCAUCUUAGGUAGCUGAGCUAAAAAUCACAGCU